rnacentral:piRNA from 1 species
UCUUCCCCUGUGAGCUGUAUUAUGUGU